UCGGGAAUCUUGCACAAUGGGCGAAAGCCUGAUGCAGCAACGCCGUGUGGGCGAGGAAGGCCCUCGGGUCGUAAAGCCCUGUUGUUGGGGACGAAGGGCGAAGGGUUAAUAGCCCCUAGCCUGACGGUACCCUUCGAGGAAGCCCCGGCUAACUACGUGCCAGCAGCCGCGGUAAUACGUAGGGGGCGAGCGUUGUCCGGAAUUAUUGGGCGUAAAGAGCGUGUAGGCGGCUCGGUAAGUCCGCCGUGAAAACCUGGGGCUCAACCCCGGGCGUGGGGUGGAUACUGCUGGGCUAGAGGAUGGUAGAGGCGAGUGGAAUUCCCGGUGUAGCGGUGAAAUGCGCAGAGAUCGGGAGGAACACCAGUAGCGAAGGCGGCUCGCUGGGCCAUUCCUGACGCUGAGACGCGAAAGCGUGGGGAGCAAACAGGAUUAGAUACCCCUGUAGUCC
rnacentral:rRNA from 1 species